rnacentral:rRNA from 1 species
GGGUAACCUGCCCAUCAGAAGGGGAUAACACUUGGAAACAGGUGCUAAUACCGUAUAACACUAUUUUCCGCAUGGAAGAAAGUUGAAAGGCGCUUUUGCGUCACUGAUGGAUGGACCCGCGGUGCAUUAGCUAGUUGGUGAGGUAACGGCUCACCAAGGCAACGAUGCAUAGCCGACCUGAGAGGGUGAUCGGCCGCACUGGGACUGAGACACGGCCCAGACUCCUACGGGAGGCAGCAGUAGGGAAUCUUCGGCAAUGGACGAAAGUCUGACCGAGCAACGCCGCGUGAGUGAAGAAGGUUUUCGGAUCGUAAAACUCUGUUGUUAGAGAAGAACAAGGAUGAGAGUAAAACGUUCAUCCCUUGACGGUAUCUAACCAGAAAGCCACGGCUAACUACGUGCCAGCAGCCGCGGUAAUACGUAGGUGGCAAGCGUUGUCCGGAUUUAUUGGGCGUAAAGCGAGCGCAGGCGGUUUCUUAAGUCUGAUGUGAAAGCCCCCGGCUCAACCGGGGAGGGUCAUUGGAAACUGGGAGACUUGAGUGCAGAAGAGGAGAGUGGAAUUCCAUGU